AUGGGCUCUCCCCGCCCCCGUGAGUCCCCUUCGCAGCCCCUCGAGGGGCCCUUGAUGGCGCGCGGCCUCGGGGCGCCUCUCCGUGGCGGUGCGCACGGCCCGGGGGGGGCAGCGCCCCGGGAGCCCCCCGGAUACCCCCGCCCGCCCCGCGGGGCCCAAGCGCCUCCGUCUGGCGUCGGCGGCUCGGCGCGCGGGGUCCCGGCGGGAGGAGAGGUCGCGCGGAGCCGCCGGGGAGCGGCCGUCGGGGCCCCGGGGUCCGCAGGUGCGCGCGGGGCAGCGGGAGGACAGAGCGCGACACAGCGCGACACAGCGUGCCCGGGCCGCACGGGACGCGCGCGGAGGCGGCGGAGGGGGGCCGGGGGCGGCGGGGGCGGCGGGGCGGCGGGGCGCACCGCGGGGCGCGGACGGCAGGAGCCCGGCCGGGACCUCUCGUCACCCCCGCCCCCCCCGCGGCGCGGCCUAGAGCGGCGGCCUCGCGCCCAGCGCCGCCCGGGACGCGCCCCCGCCGCCGCCGCCGCCGCCCCCUCCCCGCCCGGACGGACGGGCGCACGGACGCCGCCUCGGGCGCCACUUACCCGGCCCGCCCGGCCGACUCUCCCCAUGGGCCGCGGCGCCGCGGAGACGGAAGCCCGCGACCGCAGCACCCGGGCCGGCGCCAACCCUUACGCCGAGGCCGCAGCGCGCGCGGCGGCGCGGGGUCAGGGGGCGUGCGGCCGCGAGAGGGGCGCGCCUGCGCCUGCGCCGCGAGCCGCCUGGGCGCCGCGCCCCCUGCCGGCGGGAGGACCGCGCCGCGCCGCCGCCGCCGCCCCCCCCCUCCGCCGCCGGCGUCCUCCCCUCCCGCCGACAGGGGUCGCCGUGGCGCGGCUCCUGAGCUCUCAGACUCGUGGGCGAGGCUGGCAGCGCCCCCACGCGGCGAGGAGGACAAACGGCCUGGGAGCCCGCGGAGUCCCCUUGGUGCGGAGCCCAGGUAGGCAGGUGCACGGACAGGCUGCUGCAAAGCCACUGCACCGACGUCGGUGGCUGAACGAGGGGUCACACAACACAACGCAAGUGGCAUUAAAGCCUCACGAUUUAUUUAUGUAUGUAUUUAUUUAUUUAUUUAAUAUUUUUUUGCCAGGCCUGCUAUUUAUUGAAGGAAAGAUAAAUAAAGCACACAGAUCAUUAUGUGACAUUAAAAGAUGA
rnacentral:lncRNA from 1 species